rnacentral:rRNA from 1 species
UGGGGAAUUUUGGACAAUGGGGGAAACCCUGAUCCAGCCAUCCCGCGUGUGCGAUGAAGGCCUUCGGGUUGUAAAGCACUUUUGGCAGGAAAGAAACGUCAUGGGUUAAUACCCCGUGAAACUGACGGUACCUGCAGAAUAAGCACCGGCUAACUACGUGCCAGCAGCCGCGGUAAUACGUAGGGUGCAAGCGUUAAUCGGAAUUACUGGGCGUAAAGCGUGCGCAGGCGGUUCGGAAAGAAAGAUGUGAAAUCCCAGAGCUCAACUUUGGAACUGCAUUUUUAACUACCAGGCUAGAGUGUGUCAGAGGGAGGUGGAAUUCCGCGUGUAGGAGUGAAAUGCGUAGAUAUGCGAAGGAACACCGAUGGCGAAGGCAGCCUCCUGGAAUAACACUGACGCUCAUGCAAGAAAGCGUGGGGAGCAAACAGG